UCCAGUCAAUGCACAAGGUGUGCAGCGGCACUGUUAAUGCCUGUGAGCCCGGUUCGAUUCCGGGGUCUGGAG
rnacentral:tRNA from 1 species